rnacentral:rRNA from 1 species
CCCUUAGAUGUUCUGGGCCGCACGCGCGCUACACUGACGGAGGCAGCGAGCAUGUCCUUCGCCGAGAGGUGUGGGGAAUCUUGUGAGUCUCCGUCGUGCUGGGGAUAGAUGGUUGCAAUUGUCGAUCUUGAACGAGGAAUUCCUAGUAAGCGCGAGUCAUCAGCUCGCGCUGAUUACGUCCCUGCCCUUUGUACACACCGCCCGUCGCUACUACCGAUUGAAUCGUUUAGCGAGAAUUUUGGAUCGGAGCCCUGGUGGGCAGCGAUGCCCGCCUGGGAUUUACCGAGAAAUCAUUCCAGCUUGCCGAUUUAGAGGAAGUAAAAGUCGUAACA